CUUUGGGGUUUUUUAGUACUAUCUGGUUUUGUUAUCAAAGUAAUUCUAUAAUCACAAAAUUAACUGGCAUAGUAUCCUUUCUGCCUUAUUCUUUUGGUCAAGUCAUCAGAGCCAGGAUCAAGGGGAGAGCACAUAGAGUGCAAAGAACUUUGGGGCCACAUUUAAAGCCACCAUAAAAUUCAGUUAGGCAUUCUGAAUUAUGACUCAAAAGGCAUUAUUUCAGGAACAAUUUAAUGGGGAAUAAUACUGUGCUUUCAGAACAUCACAGGCUAAACUUUUGGGUGGGGGCAGAAAGAAGGGAACCAUCUGCCUUUGUGGCUUGUCUGCAUUGUUUCUAUGGGAAAUGUGUUCUGAAUUCCUAAAACAAUGUGCAAACAAGCUUUUUUAACUCAACCCUUUGUUUGCUGUAUGAUGUUUCUUAAUUCUGAAAUGUAAAAAGCCAGUGGGGGUAAGUUGUACAAGGUGACUGGCAGGACCUGCUGGAGCUGAAAAGGAAUUGGAACUUCUUCUUCAUGGACUUCCAUCAUAGAAGCUAACACCACAGAGGCUCAGUCGACUUUGUUCCUCUGCCUACCACCACCUCUGGGUUCUGGAACAGAAUAUCGGACCAAAUUCUGUCAUAGAUGGCAGUACAUGUGACAAUGCCAUCCUCAUGUCAGCAUGCCAGAUGCAGGCAUUGUCCUUAUCAGGAAGAACUGACCGGACCACACAGCAGCAACAGCAUCCCUCACAGUUGGCAUGCAGCUCUGAGGUUCUCAAACUCAGAACGACUGAAAAGAGGUGCCUCCUCGGUUGCAAGAAUUGAAGAAAGCUCUACUUCCCAGAUGCAAGACCAUGCUGCAAGGCUUAUCCAGUACUCCAGUUUCAGACAUGAGAGCGAAUCUACCCAGGACUAGAAGCCAUCAUCCUGAGGUCACAUCUCUGCCUCCUCACCC
rnacentral:lncRNA from 1 species